rnacentral:rRNA from 1 species
GAUGAACGCUGGCGGCGUGCCUAAUACAUGCAAGUCGAGCGAACAGACGAGGAGCUUGCUCCUCUGACGUUAGCGGCGGACGGGUGAGUAACACGUGGAUAACCUACCUAUAAGACUGGGAUAACUUCGGGAAACCGGAGCUAAUACCGGAUAAUAUAUUGAACCGCAUGGUUCAAUAGUGAAAGACGGUUUUGCUGCCACUUAUAGAUGGAUCCGCGCCGCAUUAGCUAGUUGGUAAGGUAACGGCUUACCAAGGCGACGAUGCGUAGCCGACCUGAGAGGGUGAUCGGCCACACUGGAACUGAGACACGGUCCAGACUCCUACGGGAGGCAGCAGUAGGGAAUCUUCCGCAAUGGGCGAAAGCCUGACGGAGCAACGCCGCGUGAGUGAUGAAGGUCUUCGGAUCGUAAAACUCUGUUAUUAGGGAAGAACAAAUGUGUAAGUAACUAUGCACGUCUUGACGGUACCUAAUCAGAAAGCCACGGCUAACUACGUG